GGGGAUGUUGGAGAAGGUAACAUCAGGACGUCUCACCGCUGAUAGCAGGACAUUCGUCUUCUUUUCGUUAGCUCCGUUAGCUUAGCCUCCACGCCGUUAGCUUAGCAGUUAGCAUCUCCCAGAAAAAUGACUUCAGUGAGUUCAGAGUUAUGAUAAUUUAAUUAUUUUCACAAUAAAAGCCUUCAUUUGCAUGGAUUUUAAUAGUGGACUCUCACCUGUUUAUGGAUUUGAAUCUGAAAUAUUUUACGAAAAAGCAGAUUUCUGUCUGAUCCGCUCCAUCUCCUGAAAA